GUGCGAAACAACGUUGCGAAACAGAAGGCUGCUGGAUGGCUGGCGAAAGCGCGAAAUGUUAAUAUUUGAAUAAAUAAAAAAAGAAAAUUUUAACAGGAAUCGCAGGCUUUUACAUUUCUGACAGAGCCAAACAGUCUCAUGAGUUUUUUCAGGCCAAAUUUAACAUGCUAUGGAACCAUUCAAGGCCCUCAGAGGAGAGCACUGGAGAACAUCCUAGUUAGCCCACGGUUUUACAUUUUUUGGUUUAAACUCAAUUUAAUUCAAUAAAUUAAUUUCAUUUACUUCAAUCAGAUUCUAAACACAUUGUUAUAUUUAAAAUGCUAGUUUUUUAUUCCCCAUCGUGUUUAGUUUCCUAUUAGCCAAUACAAGUUAACAAUUCA
rnacentral:lncRNA from 1 species